rnacentral:rRNA from 1 species
UACAGAGGGGGCAAGCGUUGUUCGGAAUUACUGGGCGUAAAGGGCGCGUAGGCGGCCUGUUAAGUCGAACGUGAAAUCCCCGGGCUCAACUCGGGAACUGCGUCCGAUACUGGCAGGCUUGAAUCCGGGAGAGGGAUGCGGAAUUCCAGGUGUAGCGGUGAAAUGCGUAGAUAUCUGGAGGAACACCGGUGGCGAAGGCGGCAUCCUGGACCGGCAUUGACGCUGAGGCGCGAAAGCGUGGGGAGCAAACAGG